CAGUAGCCGCGGUAAGACAGAGGUCCCGAGCGUUGUUCGGAUUCAUUGGGCGUAAAGGGUGUGUAGGAGGCCAGGUGAGUCAGGUGUGAAAUCUCAGAGCUUAACUCUGAAACUGCGCUUGAUACUGCUUGGCUAGAGGAUCGGAGGGGGUAACGGAAUUUAUGGUGUAGCAGUGAAAUGCGUAGAUAUCAUAAGGAACACCGGUGGCGAAGGCGGUUACCUGGAAGAUUCCUGACUCUGAAACACGAAAGCCAGGGGAGCAAACGGGAUUAGAUACCCGUGUAGUCCCUGUCUCUUAUAC
rnacentral:rRNA from 1 species